ACAUACGACCAUAGGUACAAGAAAAUACGGGAUCCCGUCCGCUCUCCCCUAGUCAAACUUGUGACCGGCAGAUUAGUAGUUGGGUCGGUGACGACCAGCGAACACCGGCUGUUGUAUGUU
rfam:Stachybotrys chartarum IBT 40288 unplaced genomic scaffold scaffold1144, whole genome shotgun sequence.